rnacentral:lncRNA from 1 species
AAUGGUGAUUUGUAAAACGGCUCGUAAUGAAGAGGCUACUGGAGAGUGGCUGAACAGUGCUAAGCAAACUGGGUUCUGUACUGAUGUGGAGACCAUUUGAACCUCUGGUUGGACCCCAUCAUUUCCUGUUUUAUGAGGGAGAGUAAUUUGUCACCGGGGAAUAACUUC